CGCAGCCAGUAAUGCAUUACAACGCACGAAAAGAUAUCGGUUAUAAUUCAAUAUAAUUCAAGUUCAAAAUUCAAGAUUGGUAUUUGUUGGUAAUACAACCAGUACAGACGUACGUCAUGUUCGUGUUACUUGUAAUACAACCUUUAAAUUUAAACAGUUCACUGUGGGAAGAUCAUUAAUGUACAUUGUUUUCAAACCAAAUUUGGUAACAUCAUUUAAGAUGUUUGUCACAUGGAGAAACAUGUUUAUUCAACAAUAGGGUGUAUGAACAAUAGAAACGUGUGAAUUGAACAGCCAGCAUGGGUUUUCCCUGACAAAACUCUUUUGAAAAAUUCUUUCUCGGUUUGAUAGCCAUAUCAGUUGAUGAUCUUAUUUACUCAAAGACGGUAUUAAAUUCUUGGAAUUCCUAUCA